rnacentral:rRNA from 1 species
UACGUAGGGUGCAAGCGUUAUCCGGAAUUAUUGGGCGUAAAGAGCUCGUAGGCGGUUUGUCACGUCUGCUGUGAAAACUGGAGGCUCAACCUCCAGCCUGCAGUGGGUACGGGCAGACUAGAGUGCGGUAGGGGAGAUUGGAAUUCCUGGUGUAGCGGUGGAAUGCGCAGAUAUCAGGAGGAACACCGAUGGCGAAGGCAGAUCUCUGGGCCGUAACUGACGCUGAGGAGCGAAAGCAUGGGUAGCAAACAGG